rnacentral:lncRNA from 1 species
CAUUGCAACUCUUCCUGAAGUUGAAGUGCAGGCCCAGGCUUGGUUGCUCCACUGUGUUCCGUCAUAACUGCAACAUGGUGCAGCAAUGUGUUGCCCUUAUUAUCAAUAAUUCGAUGCAAUCUAGGCAAUGGUAUUUUCUGUUGCUUCACAAGACUGAAGAUCUCUUUCUGGCGAUGCAUGACGGCCACAUCCAAAAUGCUCUGCCCCUCAUCAUUGAGCUGCUCAAUAGCAUGAGGAUGUUAUUAUAUUAUCUCCCCAACAAU